AGAGUUUGAUUCUGGCUCAGAACGAACGCUGGUGGCGUGUCUUAUACAUGCAAGUCGAGCGAGGCAGCAAUGCCUAGCGGCGAACGGGUGAGUAACGCGUAAGCAAUCUGCCCCAUAUCAGGAAAUACCCGUGCCAACGCGCGGUUAAUGUCCAGGAGCGUGGCCUUCCGCAUGGGAGGUUGACAAGAGAUUUAUCGGUAUGGGAUGAGCUUGCGUCCGAUUAGCUAGUUGGCGGGGCAACGGCCCACCAAGGCGACGAUCGGUAGCCGGCCUGAGAGGGUGAUCGGCCACAUUGGGACUGAGAUACGGCCCAGACUCCUACGGGAGGCAGCAGUAGGGAAUAUUGCACAAUGGGGGAAACCCUGAUGCAGCAACGCCAACCGUGUGGGAAGAAGCAUUUCGGUGUGUAAACCACUGUCGUGAGGGAAUAAGGCGUCUUCUCGGAGACGUUGAAUGUACCUCGAAAGGAAGCACCGGCAAACUUCGUGCCAGCCGCCGC
rnacentral:rRNA from 1 species